rnacentral:rRNA from 1 species
UGCCUCAUAAAUCGAGGCCAGUAUGAAUGGCUAAACGAGGUCUUAACUGUCUCUUACAGGCGAUCGGUGAAAUUGAUCUCCCUGUGCAAAAGCAGGGAUAAACCCAUAAGACGAGAAGACCCUGUGGAACUUCAAAAUCAGCAACCACCCUUGAACACAUUCACACCCACUGGGUACACGAACCUACAAGGAACUGGUCUGCAUUUUUUGGUUGGGGCGACCUUGGAGAAAAACAAAUCCUCCAAAUAUUAGACCACACCUCUAGACUGAGAGCAACCUCUCGAAGUGCUAAUAGCACCCAGACCCAAUAUAAUUGAUCAAUGGACCAAGCUACCCCAGGGAUAACAGCGCAAUCCCCUCCGAGAGUCCGUAUCGACGAGGGGGUUUACGACCUCGAUGUUGGAUCAGGACAUCCUAGUGGUGCAGCAGCUACUAAGGGUUCGUUUGUUCAACGAUUAAAGU